AUCCAGAGGCAUUUCAAAAAACUUUCAAAAAGACUUUCACCUAAGAUACAAAGAAAGCCCUGGGUUCUUCAUCUUUGUGAUAAGGUUAGCAAUGCUAGCAUGUAUCUAGGAAUACUAUAAGAGGAUCAGUACUAAACUAUAUAAUACAUAUCAAUUCACA